CCUACGGGUGGCUGCAGUGGGGAAUAUUGGACAAUGGGGGGAACCCUGAUCCAGCCAUGCCGCAUGUGUGAAGAAGGCCCUCGGGUUGUAAAGCACUUUCAGUGAGGAAGAACGCCUGGUGGUUAAUACCCAUCAGGAAAGACAUCACUCACAGAAGAAGCACCGGCUAACUCCGUGCCAGCAGCCGCGGUAAUACGGAGGGUGCGAGCGUUAAUCGGAAUUACUGGGCGUAAAGCGCGCGUAGGUGGCUUGAUAAGCCGGUUGUGAAAGCCCCGGGCUCAACCUGGGAACGGCAUCCGGAACUGUCAAGCUAGAGUGCAGGAGAGGAAGGUAGAAUUCCCGGUGUAGCGGUGAAAUGCGUAGAGAUCGGGAGGAAUACCAGUGGCGAAGGCGGCCUUCUGGACUGACACUGACACUGAGGUGCGAAAGCGUGGGUAGCAAACAGGAUUAGAUACCCCGGUAGUC
rnacentral:rRNA from 1 species